rnacentral:rRNA from 1 species
AUAUCAAUAAGCGGAGGAAAAGAAACCAACAGGGAUUGCCUCAGUAACGGCGAGUGAAGCGGCAACAGCUCAAAUUUGAAAUCUGGCUCACGCCCGAGUUGUAAUUUGUAGAGGAUGCUUCGGGUGAAGCCGCGGUCCAAGUCCCUUGGAACAGGACGUCAUAGAGGGUGAGAACCCCGUACCUGGCCGCCGGUGCCCCCCGCUGUGAAGCUCCUUCGACGAGUCGAGUUGUUUGGGAAUGCAGCUCUAAAUUGGUGGUAAAUUCCAUCUAAAGCUAAAUACCGGCCAGAGACCGAUAGCGCACAAGUAGAGUGAUCGAAAGAUGAAAAGCACUUUGAAAAGAGAGUUAAAAAGUACGUGAAAUUGUUGAAAGGGAAGCGCUUGCGGCCAGACUUGCCCGCGGUUGCUCAGCCCGCCCUUUGGCGGGUGCACUCUUCCGCGGUCAGGCCAGCAUCGGUUUGGGCGGUCGGACAAAGGCGUUGGGAACGUGACCUCCCCUCGGGGAGGUGUUAUAGCCCGGCGCGUAAUGCGACCAGCCUGGACCGAGGUUCGCGCUCUGCUAGGAUGCUGGCGUAAUGGCCGUAAGCGG